rnacentral:lncRNA from 1 species
UUGGUUGUGGGUAUAUGCCUUCUAUCCAUGUCAAAAUUACACAUUAAUUUGGUGCAGGCAUCUGUCUAUGGUGCGUUUUCCAGGGCGUGAAUUUUGGUCUAGUAUUUGGUAUGUGUGGUACAGUUUUUGUCUGUUAUGUAGGGUGUUUAUCUCCUGCUUUCGAAUGAAGGCAUUUUUUUUGUGCAGUCUCAAGGGUCUAGGCCAUGGUGAACUAUGAUUGGUAAUUUGGGCCAAUCUUGAAGAAGUCAAGACAUUGUAUACUAGUAUCAUGGAUUUUCCUUAUUGUAU